CAGCAGCCGCGGGAAUACGAAGGGGGCUAGCGUUGUUCGGAUUUACUGGGCGUAAAGCGCACGUAGGCGGACUUUUAAGUCAGGGGUGAAAUCCCGGGGCUCAACCCCGGAACUGCCUUUGAUACUGGGAGUCUUGAGUGUGAUAGAGGUAUGUGGAACUCCGAGUGUAGAGGUGAAAUUCGUAGAUAUUCGGAAGAACACCAGUGGUGAAGGCGACAUACUGGAUCAUUACUGACGCUGAGGCUCGAAAGCGUGGGGAGCAAACAGGAUUAGAUACCCCGGUAGUCCCUGUCUCUUAUAC
rnacentral:rRNA from 1 species